AGGACGAACGCUGGCGGCGUGCUUAACACAUGCAAGUCGAACGGAAAGGCCCUGCUUUUGUGGGGUGCUCGAGUGGCGAACGGGUGAGUAACACGUGAGUAACCUGCCCUUGACUUUGGGAUAACUUCAGGAAACUGGGGCUAAUACCGGAUAGGAGCUCCUGCUGCAUGGUGGGGGUUGGAAAGUUUCGGCGGUUGGGGAUGGACUCGCGGCUUAUCAGCUUGUUGGUGGGGUAGUGGCUUACCAAGGCUUUGACGGGUAGCCGGCCUGAGAGGGUGACCGGCCACGAUUGGGACUGAGAUACGGCCCAGACUCCUACGGGAGGCAGCAGUGGGAAUAUGCACAAUGGGCGAAGCCUGAUGCAGCGACGCCGCGUGCGGGAUGACGGCCUUCGGGUUGUAACCGCUUUCGCCUGUGACGAGCGUGAGUGACGGUAAUGGGUAAAGAAGCGACCGGCUAACUACGUGACCGAGCAGCCGCGGU
rnacentral:rRNA from 1 species